UCCGGAUUUAUUGGGCGUAAAGGGUGUGUAGGCGGUUUAAAUAGUCAGAUGUUAAAUCAUUGGGCUCAACCCAGUGACUGCAUUUGAAACGUUUAAACUAGAAAUAUGCAGAGGUUAGCGGAACUCAUGGUGUAGCAGUGAAAUGCGUUGAUAUCAUGGGGAACACCAAAGGCGAAGGCAGCUAACUGGGCAUUUUUUGACGCUGAGACACGAAAGCGUGGGUAGCGAACGGGAUUAGAUACCCCGGUAGUCCAUGCCGUAAACGAUGUACACUAGAUAUUGGGAGUUUCGACCCUCUCAGUGUCUAAGCUAACGCGAUAAGUGUACCGCCUGGGAAGUACGAGCGCAAGCUUAAAACUCAAAGGAAUAGACGGGGAUCCGCACAAGCGGUGGAGCAUGUGGUUUAAUUCGACAAUAAGCGAGGAACCUCACCAGGGCUAGAUACUUAGCUGCAUUCCGGCAGAGACGCUGGAAGCCUUCGAGGGUGCUAAGCAGGUGCUGCAUGGUUGUCGUCAGCUCGUGCCGUAAGGUGUUCCAUUAAGUUGGGUAACGAGCGCAACCCCUACUGUGUGUUACAAGUGUCACACGGAACUGCCC
rnacentral:rRNA from 1 species